rnacentral:misc_RNA from 1 species
GAAAUGCGAUAACUAGUGUGAAUUGCAGAAUUCCGUGAAUCAUCGCGUCUUUGAACGCACAUUGCGCCCCCUGGUAUUCCGGGGGGCAUGCCUGUCCGAGCGUCAUUGCUGCCCAUCAAGCACGGCUUGUGUGUUGGGUCGUCGUCCCCUCUUCGGGGGGGACGGGCCCCAAAGGCAGCGGCGGCACCGCGUCCGAUCCUCGAGCGUAUGGGGCUUUGUCACCCGCUCUGUAGGCCCGGCCGGCGCUUGCCGAACGCAAAACAACCAUUCUUUCCAGGUUGACCUCGGAUCAGGUAGGGAUACCCGCUGAACUUAAGC